rnacentral:rRNA from 1 species
UAGAGUUUGGNUCUGGCUCAGGACGAACGCUGGCGGCGUGCCUAAUACAUGCAAGUCGAACGAACUCUGGUAUUGAUUGGUGCUUGCAUCAUGAUUUACAUUUGAGUGAGUGGCGAACUGGUGAGUAACACGUGGGAAACCUGCCCAGAAGCGGGGGAUAACACCUGGAAACAGAUGCUAAUACCGCAUAACAACUUGGACCGCAUGGUCCGAGCUUGAAAGAUGGCUUCNGCUAUCACUUUUGGAUGGUCCCGCGGCGUAUUAGCUAGAUGGUGGGGUAACGGCUCACCAUGGCAAUGAUACGUAGCCGACCUGAGAGGGUAAUCGGCCACAUUGGGACUGAGACACGGCCCAAACUCCUACGGGAGGCAGCAGUAGGGAAUCUUCCACAAUGGACGAAAGUCUGAUGGAGCAACGCCGCGUGAGUGAAGAAGGGUUUCGGCUCGUAAAACUCUGUUGUUAAAGAAGAACAUAUCUGAGAGUAACUGUUCAGGUAUGACGGUAUNCCA